GACAGGUUGGCAGACUAGUGCAAUUGAUUUAGGAUCAAAACAUGUAAUUAUAUUACACCUGUCU
rnacentral:tRNA from 1 species